UACGUAGGGUGCAAGCGUUGUCCGGAAUUACUGGGCGUAAAGCGCACGUAGGCGGUUUGUUGCGUCGGCUGUGAAAUCCCGAGGCUCAACCUCGGGUCUGCAGUCGAUACGAGCAAACUAGAGUGUUGCAGGGGAGACUGGAAUUCCUGGUGUAGCGGUGAAAUGCGCAGAUAUCAGGAGGAACACCGGUGGCGAAGGCGGGUCUCUGGGCAACAACUGACGCUGAGGAGCGAAAGCGUGGGGAGCGAACAGG
rnacentral:rRNA from 1 species